UGUGGUCAGCGGUCUCUUCCUCGGGCUUCAAGGAAUCUGCUGGGGGUCGUCAGUGA
rnacentral:tRNA from 1 species